GGUGGCUUUAAGGUCGUUGAUUAUGAGGAGAGACCUUUGAUAACAGCCAUGAAAGAAGAAUAAUAACUAAACAGGACAGGCAAGGGAAGAAGAGGUCCAUGUGAACAUGCGUACGGCAAGCUGUACUAGUGGAGUUGCCAUUAAGACAGGAAGUACUGUUCUUCUCUUGGCGUAGGCUUAAUGUGAUUACGACUUGUCCCAAAGCUCAACUUGGAGUUGUGGGCUUCAUCCAUCUUUGCACCGAACAAGUCAAAUACUCAAUGCUGUCUCUUUCCUUUUUUUUUUUUCUUUGAAAUAUCAUGUUAUGCAUUUUAUUUUUCCAAUUUCUUUGAUGCUGCUAUAGAUGCCUACAUUUUGUUUAUCAGAUGGACCCAUUUAAAUAAUUUAUAUAUGUUGAUGUCA